CCCACCCGGGAAGGGCCCACGUGCAAAAACCCCAUGAAAAACCCCGUUAAAAAUACACAAAUCCCAUUAAAAACCCGCUUCCAAAGGACCCCAAAAUGACAGAUCCCAAAAGGGUUCCCCAAAGUGACCCAAAAUCCCCCAAAAUGACCCCAAAAAGCCCCCAAAAUGACCCCAAAAAACCCCAAAAUGACCCCAAAAUCCCCAGAAUUGACCCCAAAUAACCCCAAAAACCCCAUAAAGGACCCCAAAGUGACCCCAAAUGCCCCAAUAUGACCCCAAAAUCCCAUAAGGGACCCCAAAUGACCCCAAAUGAUCCCCAAGUGACCCCAAAGUGACCCCAAAUGAUCCCCAAGUGACCCCAAAUGACCCCAAAGUCCCCAUAAAUGACCCCAAAUGCCCCCAAAUGACCCCAAAUGAUCCCCAAGUGACCCCAAAUGACCCCAAAGUCCCCAUAAACAACCCCAAAUGCCCCCAAAGUGACCCCAAAAUCCCCAAAAAUGACCCCAAAUGCCUCCAAAGUGACCCCAAAAGCCCCCAAAAUGACCCCCAAAAACCCCAAAAUCCCCAUAAAGGACCCCAAAGUGACCCCAAAUGCCCCAAAAUGACCCCAAAAUCGCCUCACUGACCCCAAAUAACCCCAAAAUCCCCAUAAAGGACCCCAAAGUGACCCCAAAUGCCCCCAAAGUGACCCUAAAAUCCCAUAAAUGCCCCCAAAUGCCCCCAAAUGAUCCCCAAGUGACCCCAAAUGACCCCAAAACCCCCAUAAAUGCCCCCAAAGUGACCCCAAAAUCCCCAUAAAUGCCCCCAAAGUGACCCCAAAGUGACCCCAAAACCCCAUAAAUGCCCCCCAAAUGACCCCAAAACCCCCAUAAAUGCCCUCAAAGUGACCCCAAAUGACCCCCAAAUCCCCACAAAUGACCCCAUAAAUGCUCCCCCAAGUGACCCCAAAUGAUCCCAAAUUACCCCAAAACCCCCAUAAAUGCCCCCAAAGAGCCCCCAAAUCCCCAUAAAUGACCCUAAAUGCCCCCAAAGUGACCCCAAAUGAUCCCAGAGUGACCCCAAAACCCUCAUAAAUGCCCCCAAAGUGACCCCAAAACCCCAUAAAUGCCCCCAAAGUGACCCCAAAUGACCCCAAAAUCCCCAUAAAUGACCCCAUAAAUGCCCCCCA
ensembl:lncRNA